UACGUAGGGGGCAAGCGUUGUCCGGAAUUAUUGGGCGUAAAGAGCGUGUAGGCGGUCAGGUAGGUCGGUUGUGAAAACUGGAGGCUCAACCUUCAGAGGUCGACCGAAACCCCCUGGCUAGAGUCCGGGAGAGGAGAGUGGAAUUCCUGGUGUAGCGGUGAAAUGCGCAGAUAUCAGGAAGAACACCCGUGGCGAAAGCGGCUCUCUGGAACGGUACUGACGCUGAGACGCGAAAGCGUGGGGAGCGAACAGG
rnacentral:rRNA from 1 species